CAGCCCUGGCCGUGCCUGCGGCGCUUUGCCCUGGCCUGGUGGGAGCGGACGGCUGAGGGCAGCUCCCGAUCUCCCAGGGAGGAGGCCGGACCGAAGGACCCCGGGGGCCGAAGGGAGCCAGGGCUCCAGCGUGCAGCGGGAGGGAAGUCUCCAGGACUCUGCUCCCUCUGUUUAAAGUCUCC